rnacentral:tRNA from 1 species
AUUUCUAUGGUGUAAAAUUUGCACAUUAGAUUUUCAUUCUAAAGGUAUAAAAAUUGAUUUAUUAGAAAU